rnacentral:misc_RNA from 1 species
GAUGAAGAACGCAGCGAAAUGCGAUAAGUAGUGUGAAUUGCAGAAUUCAGUGAAUCAUCGAAUCUUUGAACGCACAUUGCGCCCCUUGGUAUUCCAUGGGGCAUGCCUGUUCGAGCGUCAUUUGUACCUUCAAGCUUUGCUUGGUGUUGGGUGUUUGUCUCGCCUUUGCGUGUAGACUCGCCUUAAAAUAAUUGGCAGCCGGCGUAUUGAUUUCGGAGCGCAGUACAUCUCGCGCUUUGCACUCAUAACGACAGCGUUCAAAAGUACAUUUUACACUCUUGACCUCGGAUCAGGUAGGGAUACCCGCUGAACUUAAGCAUAUCAAUAAGCGGAGGA